rnacentral:lncRNA from 1 species
CGGUUCCAACUUAAAUAAAAAAAUAUAAAAAGUAAGGCUUAUCCUUCAGUUUGUUUUCUUCUUCUCCGCCCAAAUGUCUCUCAUCUCAUCGACAUCAUCUCUCUCUCACGGCUCACCAAGGUGUGAAAAUUGGUUAUCAGUUGAAGCAGACUGCAGACCGACUAGAGAAAUAAAGAGGGUAAGAACCGCUGCAUGCUUUGCUUUGCUAUGUGGUUUGUGUUUGUGUGUGUAUAUAAAUAGAAAUAGAAAUAGAAGUGCUCGAUAAUUAGGUGAAGGAUGGCACGUUUUUUUUUUUAUUACUUUUUUGUGGUCUGAACUCGGCUGGAGCUUGGAGGGGAGGGGAGUAAUCUACGGGUUUUGAUGACUCAGACUCACCCCUUCAAGAUAAUUAAUUAACAGGUAAUUUACUAUGUAUAUCUUAAUUAGAAAUAAAUUCAUAAGAAGAAAACAAAUUACUUUGGAAAUUGUGAUUUUGGUUUUACAAUCUGAACGGAAUGAAGGAAGGAUACUUAUGGUAUGUUGUUUGGUUAAAAAUAUAUACAAAUAGGUUUAUUUUUUUUAAAAUAAAUUGAUUGAUUUUACAUAUUUAUUAAAUAUUAUAUAUAAUAUAUAAUAAUAAUUAAUAUAUUUAAUUAUUUAUUAUUUAUUACAUAUUAAUGCACUCACUCGUCAAUAACGGUUCGAUUACUGAUUGGAUCAGUUGUGACCCAUCCAUCCCAUACCUUUUUUCAGUUUGAUUACCGAUCCGAGUUUGAAAAUCUUGCUCUAAAAAAAAGAUUUGCAAAACACAUACCAGAGUUUGAGAGUUAUGGGAAUUAGAAUUUGCAUAAAAUGAUAUGCGGAUUAAGAAAUUUUGAUUUCCCACCACAAAAAUGCAGUGACAUGAUAUGCUCACGCAAUCUACUUUAUCCGUACAAACAGAUAAGUGGAUUUGAUAUUCAUGGAACUUGAAUAUUAAGAAGUAGAGCAAAUGAAGAAAGUGCAAGCUCGAAGAUCCGCCAGGAAAUGAGAUCUCCAUGAGUGCAAAGUGGACUCAUAAUUAUGAGUUUGUGGUAUAAAUUGUGUGCAAAUAAAUGGACUACUUUUAUACCGUUUGUUCUAAACAUAAAACCUGGUGGUCAGGUCAUUACAGCAAUUGUUCAUAACAUCAUUCAGUUGCAACCUGAUGAAUAGAGUGAUGCCUUGAUUGAACUAAGAUACUCUUGUUGCUUAAUUAAUUAAUGAAAAAGCAUGCAGUCGAACCAUGGUCGUUUCUAAAUCUAAAUCAAACAUGCAAGAUAAAAAUGUGAUGCAAAAAAUAAAUAAAUACGUAUAUCAUCAUGCCAGAAAAAGGUGCUAAAUGUACCAUGCAUACUCCCUCAAAACUCAAUGUUUCACAAGAUUUAUGACAAAUCAAUGUUUGUAACUGUACCAGCAGCUAGCUAGAAUUUCACAUAUAAAUACAUUACAAGGUCCAAUGUUACAUUCAAUUAUGAGCCAUGAACAUAGAGGAGGAAAUAUGGUAGCAAUCAGCAUAAAUAAUUUACAUUAGGUAGAAACUUAUUUAUGAUUUUAAAACUUAGGCACUGGGAUAUGAAGCUUCCAUUGCUAUGCCACAGAGUCCUUCCUUGGCUUCAACACCUCUUUGCAUCCUUAUGUACCCUUGUUCUCCCCAACUCGUUCCCCAUGAGUUCUUCACAAGUCAAUACUUAGUUCCAUCACUACUAGUACCAUAGCCAACAGCAGUAACACCAUGGUAUAGAUCAGUGCCACACUGUCUUGUAAAGACGCCACUCGAGUAGAACUGAAAGUCAGAUCCCCCAGCAUCAAUGGCAACAGAGAUUGGUUGAUUGGCAACAGCUUUCAGCAGUGCACUCUCACUAUUGGCAGGCACAUCUCCGUGGCCAGUAUGUUAAAAUAUUUUAUUUCCUUGUGUGGCCUCUACUAUUUAUUUAAUUAUUGGGCUUACAUAUUGUAUUAAUUUAAUUACUUUAUUUAUAGGUUUGGUAAUAAAUUAUGUGUCCUAUAAAUUAUAUUCGUAAUAGUAUUUGGCAUAAUGGGCCCUAGGGUUUAAUAAUCUUGAUGGACGAUUUUGACCCUUAGCUAUUCUAUAAAUAAAACAGUUAGGGUUUGAUCCCAAUUGUGUCUCAAGAAUUUUAUUUACACACCUAUACAUCCAUCCUAAGAUUGAGAGAGAUAAUUGAAGACCUUCAUCCUUAAGCGCAGCGGAAGCGUGAUACAUACAAGACGUCUUCUCUCAAUUCAUGUAAGUACUUAAUAUUAUGAUCAAUUGAUUUUAUUUUAUUCUAUGCAAUAGCAUGUUCCUGUAUAAUUUAUUCAACAUCUGGUAUCAAAGCGUGGUUACGGUAUUUUAUAGAAUAAAUUAAUUACGUAUUAAUUAUGCUAGAAUUUUAAUUUUGCAUAAUCUCUUUAUGGGUACAAUAUUAUUUAGAGAUAAAAGCAUCCUGAAUUCUAGAAAUUUGAUACAUAUAUAAUAAUAAACAUUAAGUACUGCUUGAAUUUUUCAAUACGAAAGCUUGUGAGCUGUGAAC